CCCUGUCUCAAAAGAUGUAUUUUUUUAUUAAUCUGAGGUCAGAACAAUAUCUCUUUAUAUUUUCUUCGAAAUGACCAAAAGCAUUUCAGUGAAGAACUGAAUGAAUUAUUGAAUGAAUAACUAAACUUGGUCUUUCAGCAGUUCCUGUCUGGUAUGAGCUAAAUUAUUCAAAUGUUGAAGUUCUAACCCCCAUUACCUCAGAAUGUGACUGUAUUUGUAGAUAAGGUCAUUAGAGAGGUAAUUACAUUAAAGUGAGGUCAUUAGUGUGGGCUUUCCCCCAAUAUAAAUGGUGUGAAUUUUCUAAAAGAGGGAAACUGGAUAUAGACCUACCUCUACAGAGGGACAACCAUGUGAAGAGAAAGGGAGAAGAUGACCAUCUAUCUACAAGCCAUGGAGAGAGACCUCAGAAGGAACCAAUCCUGCCAACACCUUGAUCUUGGCCUUCCAGUCUCCAGAACUGGUCUUCUGUCUUAUAAGAAGAGGAAGGGUCACCAGAGAUGUCUCCAUACAUACACAUAGGAAAGGCCUUGUGAGGACACAGCCAGCUGGCUGUCAUCUACAAACCAGGAAGAAAGGCUUCAUCAGAAACCUACCUUGUUACCUUUCUUGAUCUUGGAUUUCUAGCCUCCAGAACUGUGAGAAAAUAAAUGUCUGUUGUUCAAGUCCCCA